CAGUCGCCACGGGAAUACGAAGGGUGCAAGCGUUACUCGGAAUUACUGGGCGUAAAGCGUGUGUAGGUGGUUGUUUAAGUCUGUCGUGAAAGCCCUGGGCUCAACCUGGGAAUUGCGAUGGAUACUGGGCGACUAGAGUGCGGUAGAGGAUAGUGGAAUUUCCGGUGUAGCAGUGAAAUGCGUAGAGAUCGGAAGGAACAUCUGUGGCGAAGGCGACUAUCUGGGCCAACACUGACACUGAGACACGAAAGCGUGGGGAGCAAACAGGAUUAGAUACCCGCGUAGUCCCUGUCUCUUAUAU
rnacentral:rRNA from 1 species